GACGAACGCUGGCGGCGUGCCUAAUACAUGCAAGUUGAGCGAUGAAGAUUGGUGCUUGCACCAAUUUGAAGAGCAGCGCACGGGUGAGUAACGCGUGGGGAAUCUGCCUUUGAGCGGGGGACAACAUUUGGAAACGAAUGCUAAUACCGCAUAAUAACUUUAAACAUAAGUUUUAAGUUUGAAAGAUGCAAUUGCAUCACUCAAAGAUGAUCCCGCGUUGUAUUAGCUAGUUGGUGAGGUAAAGGCUCACCAAGGCGAUGAUACAUAGCCGACCUGAGAGGGUGAUCGGCCACAUUGGGACUGAGACACGGCCCAAACUCCUACGGGAGGCAGCAGUAGGGAAUCUUCGGCAAUGGACGAAAGUCUGACCGAGCAACGCCGCGUGAGUGAAGAAGGUUUUCGGAUCGUAAAACUCUGUUGGUAGAGAAGAACGUUGGUGAGAGUGGAAAGCUCAUCAAGUGACGGUAACUACCCAGAAAGGGACGGCUAACUACGUG
rnacentral:rRNA from 1 species